GACGAACGCUGGCGGCGUGCUUAACACAUGCAAGUCGUACGGUAAGGCCCUUUCGGGGGUACACGAGUGGCGAACGGGUGAGUAACACGUGAGUAACCUUCCCACAACUUUGGGAUAACGCUAGGAAACUGGUGCUAAUACUGGAUAUGUGCUCCUGCUGCAUGGUGGGGGUUGGAAAGCUCCGGCGGUUGUGGAUGGACUCGCGGCCUAUCAGCUUGUUGGUGGGGUAGUGGCCUACCAAGGCGGCGACGGGUAGCCGGCCUGAGAGGGUGACCGGCCACAUUGGGACUGAGAUACGGCCCAGACUCCUACGGGAGGCAGCAGUGGGGAAUAUUGCACAAUGGGCGCAAGCCUGAUGCAGCAACGCCGCGUGCGGGAUGACGGCCUUCGGGUUGUAAACCGCUUUCAGCAGGGACGAAGCUUUUUGUGACGGUACCUGCAGAAGAAGCACCGGCUAACUACGUG
rnacentral:rRNA from 1 species